UAAUAUUAUAAAUGUGAAUAUAAGUAUGUUUGUUACGCUUUCACUUUGAAACUACUUAGGCAAUCAUAGAAUACAUAUUUUAAAAGAAAAAUUAUAUUUUUACCGGAUUGAGAAAAAAUCUCUUUUGGCAGAUUUGAUUAAGAGAUUUUUUCUCAAUCCAUACAAAAUGUUCGGAGUGGUAUAGUAAAGAGUUUGGAUAAUAGAACGAUUGUGCCCUAUUCGCCGAUUUUGUGUAAAUUAUUAAAAGGUCCACAUUAAGGUUGAAGUAUAUCAAUAAGGAAAGCAAUCAGGCGAUCUUCAAUCUGCAUAAUGAAGGUACUGUUAGCUCAUAAAUAAAAUAUAAACCUAUCAAGAAGGAAGAUACAUAAAUCAGUAGCGUGGCAGUUGCUUGACUUUCCAUUACAUAAAAGAUAUACGACUCAUUUUCAUCUUGCAGUACAUUUGGAAAAUCGACAGCGUGCUUAAUUUUAUGAGAAACCCUUUUAAGAAAGAACGAUCCUUACGCAAGAACAUUAUUGUACUCUGAGGUUCCCCGUUAUUUUACAUGGAACACCUCAAAAAAGAAAUGGCAUCAACCUGUUCAAAAUCAACCUGAGGUUAAAACGUCGAUCGCUCUUGGUCGUGUCUACACGGUACAUGUUACAAGAAAGAUAUUCAAUGGUCAAGAAUGUUAAACUUAAAGAGAAAUAUGUGAAGUUCGGCGAUUGAUAGAAAAUGAUAAUUAUAAUUAUUGUAUAAAGUAUUUAUAAUAUAUACAAUGAUUAUAAUCAUUCGGACGAAAGUAUGAAGGAAGUUGUUCAAUGUCAAUCACCAAAUAAAAUAUGGGAACUUUACAUGAAUUGCAGUAAAUGCAUACAUAUAUGGUUUUCAAUGAAGACACUCAUUAUAAUAGGAAACAAGAUUUUAACAAUAGUCGAAAAAAGCAAUAUCAUUUUGAAAUACAAAGUUCUAAACGAGCCAAUGGAGAUGAUUUUAAUAAUGAAAUGGUCAAGAAUUUAACUUUGCUUUUAGAAAAUUGCAGCAUCAAGUGACAAAAUUAGAGUCCGGAGCAAAAUCAUGUCUUCAAUCAAGUUAUGCGUAAAAUAGAUAGCAAAGAACUCUCUUUUUUCUCCCACCUGGAGAAACCGGAAACCUAUGAAUUGCUGCGACCCUAUUGCACGGUUGCCAUUCGACACAUUCUGUUUAAGAAUUACCAUUGAAUCUUGUCCCGGAAGAUUUGCCUAUUUGUAAUUUCAGUAAAUAGCUCGCAAGGUAGAAUGCUGCAAGGCAAUAGAAAUUUUAAACCGGACACUUAUCAUCAAGCUUUUUGAAAAAUUCAGUUUGAAAACGAAUGACGUAGAUUUCGGCGUUUAAGCAGAAAUAUUGUUGAAAAUCGGUGAUUGUUGUUUAGACGUUGACGACUAUGGUUAUAUUUCGUUUUCGAGAAAAUUUUGUAAUUUAGUAGAAUAUGAUGAUGGUCUCAUUUCUCCAGCUUUUCCGGAAUUGCACCAAAAUAUAGUGAUCAGUGGUUGUGCACAAACAAAUGAAGUGAUUGUGAAAUUUUAGCGAAAUUUAGUUGUUCGGAGGUUAUGUAAUGUAACAAGGCUUCGCAUUAGAAAAUUAGGACAAAAUAUUCUUGAAGCCACUAUAUUAAGAGGUGCCGAUAAGGAAGAACACGUUAUCAUAUCUCUAUACUAAUUAUUCCCUCUGAUCUUCCUUUUUAAUUCAAAAGGGUUCAUUUUGCCGUCAAGCUGAACUUUGCUGUCACUAUAAACAAAGCACAAGGGCAGACAUUACAGGUAGCAGAGAUGCAAAGACAAUAAUAAUUGUGUAUUCGAUGAAAAAUAGUUUUAAUAACUCAGUUUAAAGCAAGAUCGGUUAACGAUCAUUCCAUAUUUUCCAGGUUCAUAUGUUUCUCAAACACAUAUUUCAUUAAAAUUUGUUACCAUCUCAGUCAAGGAGAGAUUUGAAUAUUUACUCAAAUUUAUAUGUACCUUUAAAUAAAGCAAUGUCUCAGUUACCGUAGCGUUUGGUGACAUUAUCAUUCA